rnacentral:rRNA from 1 species
AUGUGCAAAUUUGGUCCUGACCAAUCACAGAGCGACAAGUGGACGCCUGGGUCCCGGCCCGGUCAGCGCUCGGCAUUUUGCAAAGAGGCCCCUGCCUUUGGUUCGAAUCUACCCGCAGGACACGCCAAAGUUCGCCACGAGGUGGUCCGCGUCGGCGCCGUGUUCGCCUCCGGCCUCCUGCGCGCGAUCCGUUUCCUCCAGCUCAACUGGAAGGAGCUCGCCGCCGACAUCGAGGCCGGCGCGCUCAGCCCACGCGUCCGUGCGCGAGGCGGUCGCGGGCAUCCUCCGGCCGGACCCGAGCUCGCCCAGUUCGUCCGGGACGAGUGCUGCAACGACGACUGGGCCGGCAUCGUCAGGCGCAUUUGGCCCCACACGAAGUAUCUCGACGUCAUCGUCACCGGCGCCAUGGCGCAGUACAUCGGGACCCUCAAGUACUACAGCGGCGACCUGCCCAUGGCGUGCACGAUGUACGCGUCGUCGGAGUGCUACUUCGGGCUCAACCUCCGCCCGCUCUGCGACCCUUCGGAGGUGUCCUACACCAUCAUGCCCAACAUGGGGUACUUCGAGUUCCUCCCCGUGGACGAGGCGACCGGCGCGACGUCGUGCAUGGACGCGGGCAACCUGGUGGACCUCGCCCGCGUGGAGGCCGGGCGGGAGUAA